rnacentral:rRNA from 1 species
UACAGAGGGUGCAAGCGUUAAUCGGAUUUACUGGGCGUAAAGGGCGUGUAGGUGGAUUAAUUAGUCAGACGUGAAAGUCCUGGGCUUAACCGAGGGAUUGCGUAUGAUACUGUUAGUCUAGAGUGGAGUAGAGGAUAGUGGAAUUUCCGGUGUAGCGGUGAAAUGCGUAGAUAUCGGAAAGAACACCAGUGGCGAAGGCGGCUAUCUGGACUCCAACUGACACUGAGGCGCGAAAGCGUGGGGAGCGAACAGG